ensembl:lncRNA LY6S-AS1 LY6S antisense RNA 1
AUUACAAGGCGGAAGUCCUGCCCGAGAGGACAGUCCCCAGGCCUUGCUAAGCAUGCGUGGUAUCAAGAGGUGCAUUGAGGCGCUCCUGCAGCCUCCUCCCGGCACGGGACUCCUCACAACCCCCAGCCUCAGCUUCCCUGACAGGGCAGGGGCUCACUCUUCUCCACUCCGGGCCAGGAACGCAGCCUGCUUGCCUUUUGUCCAAUUGGGUGCUCUUUCUUUGCGACUGAUACAAAGUGGGAACAAACUCCGCUUCCGGUGAUGCCCGGGCCCCAGGAGGCUGGGGGAGAAGUGCACGCUGCCCAGCCUUCAACCUGAACUGCCCCCAGCACUUCCGAGCCCCGACCCCUGCAGCUGUGAGGGCCCAGGGGCUGCUGGCUGCCAGGACCACCGCAUUGCAGAGGUCUCCCUUGCAGCAAGAGAUCUGGGAGUCCACAACGGCACUUAACCUGCCCUCUGCCCUGGCACCCCAGGGACUCACUGCCAAAGACGCUCACUUUCUGGGAGACACAGACCCCAUCCAGGAAGGGGCACGAGACCACGCUGCAGGAGGCCCCUUCCAAGACCGCCAAGCAUCUGUAGCAGCGCAGACCCUGAGCUGGGAGAGAGGGCAAGAAAACACACCCCUGGUGGAGAUUUAAGAUGCUAAUGACACAUGCGACGUAUGAGCAAGCAGGUGCAGCUACUGCACGUGUGCACCCAGAGGACCCCCCCAGAACAUGCUUCCUAGCAACACCUCUGCCCACCCGCUGAUUCUCUCGGCACCACGGGAACCACCUUCUCUACUCUCACUGAACACCCCUGGGAUGUAUCUGUAAAAAUUGGAACACCUUUCGGCUAGAAACCAGAGGAAGCCGCUCAUGACACCCGGGAGCUCACAGAGGCUCUGAAGUUUCUAUUCAAGAAAACAACUCCAGAUGGGGCUGAUCUGGAAGACAAGUAACAUCUUCCUUUUCUUGGUGCUCGCCUGCCGUGCUCUAGGUGCUUUUAGAGAUGCUGGUCUGUGUGCUAGGGAAGCGAUGAACCAUACUGUUAGUCUAUUAAACAUAACUCAACCUGGCUGGCUUUCCAUGACUACCAAACGCUGGGAAUAUGCCAGACCUGUGCCCGUGGAAGACUCUGGCCUCCCAGCACACCUCCAGGAACAAACUCCCUGGCCCGCAGGAUGGGGAUAGCAACCCCAACCGUCAAUACAAAGGGAUUUUACUGAGUGGGCUCAUGGGUUCUUUAAGUUCCCCCUCUUAACGAUCAACGGUAAUUCAAACGUCCCAAAAGGAGAAAUGCUUUCUUAGCAUAUCUUUUACCUGGAGUAUUUCCCCUUCUGCCUUUACAGCAAUCAUGCCAGUUCUACCACUUUUGCAAGAAAGCUCCAAGAGAGUCAGUGUAGCUGAAACUUUGUCACUGGGUCACCUAUCUAGUCCAUAUGUCUGCAGGAAUUAUACUGAUAAAUGGACAACUCACCAUGCAAUCAAUCUCCCGCUCUAUCCUGUUCCCUGACCGGCAUGGUUUCUACUUCCUGUCAGCACAACUAGGACGUCUGGUUUCUGCUGGGCU